GGAGGAGAUUGGGCCUGAUUUUUCUUUUGGAGUCAAGGCAACGCUCAAGGCUGCUCUUCGCGAGCAGGCCAAGUUGGCGCACGGGUCGGCAGCGGGAUC
rnacentral:SRP_RNA from 1 species